rnacentral:rRNA from 1 species
UACGUAGGGGGCGAGCGUUGUCCGAAGUUACUGGGCGUAAAGCGCGCGUAGGCGGGUCUUUAAGUGAGGGGUGAAAGGUUCAGGGCUCAACCCGGACACUGCCUUUCAUACUGGGGACCUUGAGUGCGGGAGGGGCGAGUGGAAUGGUCGGUGUAGCGGUGAAAUGCGUAGAUAUCGAUCGGAACACCCAUGGCGAAGGCAGCUCGCUGGCCUGCAACUGACGCUGAGGCGCGAAAGCGCGGGGAGCAAACAGG